rnacentral:rRNA from 1 species
UACGUAGGGUGCAAGCGUUUGUCCGGAAUUAUUGGGCGUAAAGAGCUCGUAGGCGGUUUGUCGCGUCUGCUGUGAAAACUGGAGCUCAACCUCCAGCCUGCAGUGGGUACGGGCAGACUGGAGUUCGGCAGGGGAGAACUGGAAUUCCUGGUGUAGCGGCGGAAUGCGCAGAUAUCAGGAGGAACACCGAUGGCGAAGCAGCUCGCUGGGACGGUACUGAGCUGAGGCGCGAAAGCGUGGGGAGCAAACAGG